rnacentral:rRNA from 1 species
UACGAAGGGGGCUAGCGUUGCUCGGAAUUACUGGGCGUAAAGCACACGUAGGCGGGUUCUUAAGUCGGUGGUGAAAUCCUGGAGCUCAACUCCAGAACUGCCUUCGAAACUGGGAAUCUUGAGUUCGGGAGAGGUGAGUGGAACUGCGAGUGUAGAGGUGAAAUUCGUAGAUAUUCGCAAGAACACCAGUGGCGAAGGCGGCUCACUGGCCCGAUACUGACGCUGAGGCACGAAAGCGUGGGGAGCAAACAGG